GCAUCGGUAGUGGAUGGACCACACACCAGCGCUGAGAACUUUUCCCUUUGGGUUUGCAACGGUGAAUUCAACCGGGGUUCGAUUCCCCGCCGGUGCC